UACGGGGGGGGCAAGCGUUGUUCGGAAUUACUGGGCGUAAAGGGCUCGUAGGCGGCCAACUAAGUCAGACGUGAAAUCCCUCGGCUUAACCGGGGAACUGCGUCUGAUACUGGAUGGCUUGAGUUUGGGAGAGGGAUGCGGAAUUCCAGGUGUAGCGGUGAAAUGCGUAGAUAUCGGGAGGAACACCCGUAGCGAAGGCGGCACUCUGGGCCGGUACUGACGCUGAGGAGCGAAAGCGUGGGGAGCAAACAGG
rnacentral:rRNA from 1 species